AGUGAACGCUGGCGGUAGGCCUAACACAUGCAAGUCGAACGGCAGCACAGUAAGAGCUUGCUCUUACGGGUGGCGAGUGGCGGACGGGUGAGGAAUACAUCGGAAUCUACUUUUUCGUGGGGGAUAACGUAGGGAAACUUACGUUAAUACCGCAUACGACCUACGGGUGAAAGCAGGGGAUCUUCGGACCUUGCGCGAUUGAAUGAGCCGAUGUCGGAUUAGCUAGUUGGCGGGGUAAAGGCCCACCAAGGCGACGAUCCGUAGCUGGUCUGAGAGGAUGAUCAGCCACACUGGAACUGAGACACGGUCCAGACUCCUACGGGAGGCAGCAGUGGGGAAUAUUGGACAAUGGGCGCAAGCCUGAGCCAGCCAUACCGCGUGGGUGAAGAAGGCCUUCGGGUUGUAAAGCCCUUUUGUUGGGAAAGAAAAGCAGCAGGUUAAUACCCCGCUGUUCUGACGGUACCCAAAGAAUAAGCACCGGCUAACUUCGUGC
rnacentral:rRNA from 1 species